UACGGAGGAUGCGAGCGUUAUCCGGAUUCAUUGGGUUUAAAGGGUGCGUAGGCGGACUAUUAAGUCAGUGGUGAAAUCCUGCAGCUUAACUGCAGAACUGCCAUUGAUACUGAUAGCCUUGAGUUUGGUUAAGGUAGGCGGAAUGUGUAAUGUAGCGGUGAAAUGCUUAGAUAUUACACAGAACACCAAUUGCGUAGGCAGCUUACUGAGCCGACACUGACGCUGAGGCACGAAAGCGUGGGGAUCGAAC
rnacentral:rRNA from 1 species